GUCUGUGACCACUUCACAUGCUCCCGUUUAAUGUUGGUUGAGAAAUCGGCUCAGUACCGGCCCGGUUAGUACUUAGAUGGGUGACCGCUUGGGAACACCGAGUGUUGCAGGCA
rnacentral:rRNA from 1 species